rnacentral:piRNA from 1 species
GGAAGGAGCUCUAACCCACUUUACUCCCAA